rnacentral:misc_RNA from 1 species
CAACCCUCGACACCAGUCGGUUAUGAGCCCGGAACGGCGUCAAAACCCGCCCCGGCUUUAAAGUUGUAAGCUCUGCUGGCCGAUCCGCCUGACCGAAAACAUAGUAAACCUACUUGUUGGAGGGAGCGCGACCGGUACGGCCUGAACAAAACCUACCCAUCUCAAG